GUGUAUACUUUAGUUGCACAUAUAUUAAAAAUGGAACAAUACAAAGAUUACCCUAACUCCUACAUAAGGAUGACAUGUGAAGCAUUUUAUAUUCCAUAUUUUU